rnacentral:tRNA from 1 species
GGGCCCCUAGCUCAGUGGUAGAGCACGUGACUUUUAAUCACGGUGUCCUGGGUUCGAUCCCCAGGGGGCCCA